GCCAGGGUAGCUCAACGGUAGAGCAAUGCUUUCGUAAAGCAGAGGUUGAGGGUUCAAUUCCCUCCUCUGGCU
rnacentral:tRNA from 1 species